rnacentral:tRNA from 1 species
UUUCUCAGACUCAAUUGGUAGAGUGCUUGCCUCACGUGCAUAAGGCCCUGGGUUCAAUCCCCUGCAUCACAAAA